CUGGGAGGCAGUCUGGGGGCCUUGGAGGGUUUGAGGGCAAGUUGGGAGUGUUCUGUGAGACCAGGAUGGGAUUCGAGGGCUCCUGGAGGGGCUGGGAGGGGUUUAUGCCUUUAUACUGCGGGCAUUGUCUAGUAUUGAUGGGGGUAAUCGGUGAACUGACUGUUUCAUAAUCACCCAAAUUUUGACAAGACUUUGAAGGUGGUCAACCUCAGUUUGAAGCAGCUCAUUUUUAGCAACAAGUUUAUCCGAUUUUUCUCCUGUUUCCCUCUCAAAGGCUAACGAUGACUUCAACACCACAUUUUCUGAUUUCAAAACAGUAGACUCAACAUCAGAAAACCAGUCAUGACUUCCCUGUCAGCACUCCAUGCGGAUGUCUGUGCACUCACUUUGGCCUGAGAGAAACCUGCCUGUUUGCAGGGCACUAACUGGGCAACUUUUCUUUUGGCAGAUGGAAAAGGGCAGAUCAAGAGAAAACAUAUGGGUCCAGCAGAAUUGAUGCUGCUUCUGUCAAAAGCAGAGCAGAGGCCGAAAGCACUUUAGGAAGUUGCUUGCAGAAGCACUGUGCAUUCCAAGUUACAGCUCAGCAGUCUCAGUGACUUGUCCAACAUGAGAGCUCCUUUUCCAUUUCUCAGCCCUCAGAUUCCUCAGAAGUAGGAAACUGACAACACUGACUCAGAAAAGCUCCUUUCCUUCCUAAUAAUUGUGCUUUGUCCUUCCCAUUUGACAGUGGAAAUGUGCUGGUGUGAUCUGGAUCUGUGAGCAGCCCUGACCUCCCACAGCACUCAUCCAACGGCAGGAAGACCCUGCCUGGUUCCUGCUAGGGUUCUCACCACCCACCGACAGCUUCUCCCUGCAGAGGUGUGGGCAACUACCCAGGCAGGAUGAGACCUGAGCCUGGCAGGCAGCAGGGUCCCUGCCUUGACAUGAAGAACCCCGGAGCACAGGGACCCUGCUCUGCAGGACAGCCCCGGGCACUCCUGGCUGCACCCCCACCUUCCCAGCCCACAGCCAUCCCUGGCAGAAGGAGCCCACCUGCACUGUCCCUCUGACGGUGCUGCAGGGAAGGCCUGCCCUGGAGAACAUCCUCCUCCUGUGCAACAGAGAAACUGGGAGAGUCCUUACAGAGGUGCAAGGCUGUGGGAUGUGGUAGCUUUAGGAGAUUCCUCCAGGAACACAAGGGACAUUGCCCUGCACCUGUAGACUCACUCUGCAGAGGAGUGUGAAGUCGUGUCCCCAAGGGAAGUCUCAGCUGAACACCUCCCAUCUUUCCGCUGCCUUUAACCUCCCUCUGCCUUGCUUCUCUUCUCUCGUGGCUACAGGCAGUGCCCUCGGCCCUACAGGGCUGUGCAGAGGAGCUGCUCCUGGGCAGAGCUGUCUCUCUGCAGUGCUGCCCGCUUGCCAGGAGCUCCCUGUGUGCCAGGAGCCCGGCCCAGCUGAGCAGCACAGCAAGAGCCAAAGGUAGCCCUUUCUCUGCCCCUCUGGGUUCCCCGCAGGUGUCCCUGGGGCUCCAGGGGAACCUGCUGUGGAACAGGCUGAACAAAACAAUGAUGUUCCCUCUUCUCCCCUCUUCAGUGACACUUCUUUCCAGCAGUGACAUUUCUCCCCUUAGAAAAUUAACAGGGUCUGACAGCUGUGUCACGGUGACACGGGGGGCAUCGUAGAACCAAACAAACCCUGAGACAUUUCAGAAUCCCACGUGUUGGGUCUGUCUGAGCUGGAGUUCAUUUUCUCACUGCAGCCAUCACAGUGCUGUGCUUUGCAUUGGGAGCUACAAAGGGGUUAAUCACACCAGUGCUUUGGCAACUGCUGAGCAGGGCUGGCACAGCAUCUGCAUUGUCAGCUUCCUCCCUUGAAUCGGAGGCAAGCUCAUGAGAGGGGAUACAGGCAGGCCACUUAAGCCAAAUGGACCAAAGAGACAUCGCUACAAAAGCUCAGGAAAGGAACAGGAAAGGGGGAAAUCCAUUUUUUUACAAUAUAUGCCUUCUGAGCGGCCUCUCUGUGUGGUGAAGCCCUGCUUCCUGUGAAGUGGCCAGGCAUGGCUGCUGAAGGGAAGUAGAGAAUAAAUCUCUUUAUUUUCCUCUUCACUUAUGCAUGCACAAGCUUUGGCUUUUGCUUUAGUAAAGUGCCUGAUCUCAAGGUAGAAGUCAUUUUCCAUCUUCUUCUGUCUCUCCUGUCUGGCUGGGAAGGGCAGCGAUAGAGCAGUUUGGUGGGUACCUGGCAUCCAGACAAUGUCAACCCAGUGCAACAUGGCAGGGUCUCAUGGAACCAAAGGACUGCUGGGACACUGGGGGAACUCACAGAAUCAAGCGACCGUCAUGACACUGCCCUGCAUCACGGAAGUAAAUAUUCCCUGGGAAAGUACAGAAACCCAGGGAAUUAAGGGACAUCAUUGGGAUGUGCGGGACCUCAUGGAAUUAAACAAACCCUGGGAUAUAUUUGGAACUUCAUGGAAUCAAAGGGAUAAAACCAAAGAAUUAAACCCCAUGACCAGAAACCAUUGGUUUGAAUAUUUCUUUAAUAUGCCAGCUGGGGAUUCAGGGGGGUGCUCUGCCAUGCAUGAAUCAAAGAAUCAGUAUAAAUUUUGGAAUAUAAAUACAGUGAUACUUGAAAGACCCCCCUUCACAAGCAGUCCAUACUUAAGAUUUUGGGGUCAAAUAGCAUCUGGGAUUGUAUUCGUGGAGCAAGACUGCCAUCUAGCGUCCAUUUCUUCGGGGGGGGCAGUCAUUUUCGCAGAGUGGUCUUGCUUAGCAGGCCUCGUAGCAUCUCUGAUUGAUCUAUCCGACCUCUAACCCCAAACCUAAAUGUUCUAGGACCAGCUAAGACAUGUGUGUUAGAACUUCCCAUUUGCUUAAACAAUGUAUAAUUGACUUUCUUCUUAACAGAACAAUCUCUUAUUAAACAAGUUUUCUGAGGCAA